UUCAUUUUGGUUCACAAUCGUAGAAUGAAAGCUUAACCCACUCUCCUCACGAGAUCAGCGUUGGGAAGUUGAAACGUGAAACGCCGUGGGGAGCUAAAAGGUGUGGUAGAUAUGCUCCUCUUAGACGCUAAGGCUGGUCGCUGUUCUUCCACCGUCUACGGCUAGAAACUUCAAACGCGGUGGCGAGUUGAUGGGAGUGAACUUGCUCUUCCUUGAUACGAAGAUUUUUCGUUCUUAAAUCUCAUGAUCAUAAUAGUUUUGAACUUCACCGACUUUUACAUUCAUAAGUAUGGAACUUUUUUAUUCGAUCUUUUUGAAUCUCUUUUGAAUGAGAUAUUUUGAAACCUUUUAUGACUAUGUUUUACCGUUCUUAAUUCUCAUGAAUCAUGAUCGUAGGAGUUUUUGAAAUUUUCCCGUUUUCACGUUCAUAAGGAUAAAUGUUUUUCCAGAUAUUUAUUGAAUCAAUUUUCAAUGAAAAAUUUUGAAACCGUGUGUUGAUUAUGUUUUCCCAUUCUUAAAUCUCAUGAUCAAAGUAGUUUUAACUUUUCCGGUGGUCACAUUCAUAAUCAUCAAGCGUUUUUAUUCAGAUCUUUAAACAAUAUUUUUUGAAUUGAUAUUUCUAAACCAUUUGUUUAUUAUGCUCUCUUUCUCUCAUUUUCCAGUCGACCUUCAUGCCAGCCACCAUGAAUUUUCAUCACUCCUCUUCACAUUUGACCCUCAUACAUGGGUCCAUCACCGUUCAAAGAAGGAUUUAUUUACGAGCUCAGUGUGUUAGAUGUAGCAAGAUCAACCAUCACUUCAAAAUUUCAGGCUCAGUCAUCGCCAUACCUUCACCGAGCUUUAUCGAGUUCAUCAAGAUGGCAGUUGUUAGUUUUCAGCACGUUUAUCAUUUUUCUAAUCUAAUUUUCAUCCAACAAUAAUCUACCAACGUUACACUUUUUUAAUUAAAGGUGAUUUAAUCUGGGGAUGGUCAACCACAAAGUCUGCCAUAUUUGGUUCGUAGGUGAGAUGUGGAAACGAAAGUGAAGACACGAUCUAGAAAUAUUUAAAUAGCUUAUCUUAGUUGUCAAUAUUUUUUUUUCUAAGAGAAAAGACCUCAGCUGCAUAUCCCGCAUUAGUGUAUCACCCUGUGACAUCACAACUAUAAUAUAAAUAAGAACCACAACACAAUU